UGGGGAAUUGUUCACAAUGGGCGCAAGCCUGAUCCAGCCAUGCCGCGUGAGUGAAGAAGGCCUUCGGGUUGUAAAGCUCUUUCGGUGAAGACGAAACGGUUAGCGCUAAUAACGCUGACUAAUGACGGUACUCACAGAAGAAGCACCGGCUAACUACGUGCCAGCAGCCGCGGUAAUACGUAGGGUGCAGGCGUUAAUCGGAAUUACUGGGCGUAAAGCGUGCGCAGGCGGUUGUGUAAGUCAGAUGUGAAAUCCCCGGGCUCAACCUGGGAAUUGCAUUUGAGACUGCACGGCUAGAGUGUGUCAGAGGGGGGUAGAAUUCCACGUGUAGCAGUGAAAUGCGUAGAUAUGUGGAGGAAUACCGAUGGCGAAGGCAGCCCCCUGGGAUAACACUGACGCUCAUGCACGAAAGCGUGGGGAGCAAACAGGAUUAGAUACCCACGUAGUCCCUGAGCGGGCUGGCAAGGCGCAU
rnacentral:rRNA from 1 species